CCUACGGGUGGCAGCAGUCGAGAAUCAUUCACAAUGGGGGAAACCCUGAUGGUGCGACGCCGCGUGGGGGAAUGAAGGUCUUCGGAUUGUAAACCCCUGUCAUGUGGGAGCAAAUUAAAAAGAUAGUACCACAAGAGGAAGAGACGGCUAACUCUGUGCCAGCAGCCGCGGUCAUACAGAGGUCUCAAGCGUUGUUCGGAAUCACUGGGCGUAAAGCGUGCGUAGGCUGUUUCGUAAGUCGUGUGUGAAAGGCGCGGGCUCAACCCGCGGACGGCACCUGAUACUGCGAGACUAGAGUAAUGGAGGGGGAACCGGAAUUCUCGGUGUAGCAGUGAAAUGCGUAGAUAUCGAGAGGAACACUCGUGGCGAAGGCGGGUUCCUGGACAUUAACUGACGCUGAGGCACGAAGGCCAGGGGAGCGAAAGGGAUUAGAUACCCUAGUAGUC
rnacentral:rRNA from 1 species